GUUAAAUAUUAUGCUAAAAGUUAUUAUCAUAGUAACAGUAACAUUGUAUUUUAAUGCUUUUUUGCCUGGGAGAAUUUCUGUCCAUAGGCAUAUGAGGCUGGGCGUUGCAACUCCUCCAGUCACUGUCAGUGUUUAGUAUUUCUGCAAGUCUGUAUAGGAGAUGUGUUCCUUCUAUUUUAUACCUCUUGUUCAUCUAUCAAUAAACUCAUGACAAUGUCGGGCAAUUUCUAUCCACCCGUACGCCAAUAUCAUUUUUCAAUGCUGGGAGUGGCAUUCCAGAAAACCUAUAGUACACAAAUUUCCUGGAGAAGCAUGCCCACAAUCCUGGUAAAAAUCCAUGAGUUUCUUUGUUGUUGUCUAAUUGUGCUGGUAGGCAGCCUGGCACUGACAUUGCCCCUCUCACUUUUGCUGUUUGUUUUGUAGUUUCCUAUCAGACAGAUUAAACCGACUCCUGCAAAGAAAUUCCCAGUAAAACUUCAUAAAUGGACAUAUUUUGAAGAAGAUAAAGCAUUCAUUGAAUUUAUAUCUGUUGCAGACAAUCAUGCAAAUGAUUAUGAUUGAAGAGGCUUACCAAUUAUGUAAUAUCUCUAGAGCAAAAGCA